rnacentral:rRNA from 1 species
CGUGUAGGCGGCUUUGCAAGUCGGGUGUGAAAGCCCUCGACUCAACCGAGGAAGUGCGCCCGAAACUGCAGAGCUUGAGUACCGGAGAGGAUGGCGGAAUUCCCCAAGUAGAGGUGAAAUUCGUAGAUAUGGGGAGGAACACCGGUGGCGAAGGCGGCCAUCUGGACGGAUACUGACGCUGAGACGCGAAAGCGUGGGGAGCAAACAGGAUUAGAUACCCUGGUAGUCCACGCCGUAAACGAUGAGAACUAGGUGUCGCGGGUGUUGACCCCUGCGGUGCCGUAGCCAACGCAUUAAGUUCUCCGCCUGGGAAGUACGGCCGCAAGGCUAAA